UUUGCUUUCAAUAGAAGCUCAACAGCAUCAGUGUAACUCAACUGCACAAAGUUCUUCUCAACAACAUCGGUAAGUCUAUUGAUGAUCCCUUUCUCAAUCCAGGUGUCAAAAAAAUCCAUAUCUUCUUUGCAAUUCUCCAACACAUGUUGCACUACAUACUGGAGAUAGGCAGUAGCACAGGCCAUGUCAUCAUCCAAGUCCGCAAAAGCUAGUUCUGGUUCAAUCAUCCAGAAUUCAGCCAAGUGCCUGGAAGUGUUAGAGUUUUCUGCUCUGAAUGUAGGGCCAAAGGUGUAGAUAUCGGAGAGCGCAGUAGCAUAUGUUUCACCAUUGAGUUGCCCAGACACGGUUAAAUAUGCUCGUUUCCCAAAGAAGUCUUGUGACCAGUCAACAGAACCAGACUCAGUAGUAGGAAUAGCACUAACUGGUGAAUCUCCACCUUCAUUGGAGUUUGGAAUCAAUGUAGUAACACAGAAUUGCUCGCCAGCUCCUUCACAAUCAGAAGCAGUGAUUAUUGGACUAGAGACCCAAACAAAGCCAUUUUCUUGGAAAAACUUGUGUGUGGCAUAGGACAAAGCAUUCCUCACCCUCGAAACCGCACCAAAAGUGUUUGUUCGAGGGCGAAGGUGAGCCUUUGUUCUCAAGAAUUCUCUGCUGACUCUUUUCUUCUGGAUGGGGAAAGAAGGAUCACUUUUACCAACCACUACAAGUUUCUGAACCUUCAACUCAAUUUUCUGCUUUGACCCUUGGCUGCUGACGACAGUACCUUCAAUCCAUACUGAUGCACCAGUUGAAAUUAAGCCAUUCUCCACCUGAUCAUAACCCUCAGCAUCAGAACCCAUAACACAUUGCAUAUUUGAAAGACAAGAACCAUCAUUAAUAUCAAUAAACGUCACACUGCUCUGAGCCCUAACCGUGCGAACCCAUCCUCUAACCACCAAAGUUUCACCAAGACGGUCCAAACCUUCUUCAGGUCCUCCCUUUAUGUCCG
rnacentral:misc_RNA from 1 species